rnacentral:rRNA from 1 species
ACGGGUGAGUAACACGUGAAUUACAUGCCCUGUAGAGGGGGAUAGCCCAGGGAAACUUGGAUUAAUACCCCAUGGUCUCGCAAGAGUAAAGGUGGCCGCAAGGCUGUCGCUACAGGAUUGGUUCGCGCCCUAUCAGCUUGUUGGCGGGGUAACGGCCCACCAAGGCUACGACGGGUACCUGGUCUGAGAGGACGAUCAGGCACACUGGAACUGAGACACGGUCCAGACACCUACGGGUGGCAGCAGUCGAGAAUAAUUCACAAUGGGGGCAACCCUGAUGGUGCAACGCCGCGUGGAGGAUGACGGUCUUCGGAUUGUAAACUCCUGUCAUCCGGGAGUAAGACCUGGGCAUGAAUAGUGCACAGGGUUGAUAGUACCGGAAGAGGAAGGGACGGCUAACUUCGUGCCAGCAGCCGCGGUAAUACGAAGGUCCCGAGCGUCGUUCGGAAUCACUGGGCGUAAAGGGAGCGUAGGCGGCGUGGUAAGUCAGAUGUGAAAUCCCGGGGCUCAACCCCGGAACUGCAUCCGAUACUGCCGUGCUAGAGGAUUGGAGAGGUAGCUGGAAUUCUUGGUGUA